rnacentral:rRNA from 1 species
AGGACGAACGCUGGCGGCGUGCUUAACACAUGCAAGUCGAGCGGAAAGGCCCUUCGGGGUACUCGAGCGGCGAACGGGUGAGUAACACGUGAGCAACCUGCCCUUAGCUUCGGGAUAGCUCCGGGAAACCGGAAUUAAUACCGAAUAUGACUGCGGCUGACAUCAGCCACGGUGGAAAGUUUUUCGGCUAGGGAUGGACUCGCGGCCUAUCAGCUAGUUGGUGAGGUAACGGCCCACCAAGGCGACGACGGGUAGCCGGCCUGAGAGGGCGACCGGCCACGACUGGGACUGAGACACGGCCCAGACUCCUACGGGAGGCAGCAGUGGGGAAUUUUGCGCAAUGGGGGAAACCCUGACGCAGCAACGCCGCGUGGAGGAUGAAAUAUCUUGGUAUGUAAACUCCUUUCGAUGGGAAGAUUAUGACGGUACCAUAGAAGAAGCCCGGCUAACUUCGUGCCAGCAGCCGC